UCCCUGAUGGUCCAGUGGUUGGGACUCUGUGCUUCCACUGCCGGGGCACUGGUUCAAUCCCUGGUCGGGGAA
rnacentral:tRNA from 1 species